rnacentral:rRNA from 2 species
ACGGAAGGCAGCAGUGGGGAAUAUUGCACAAUGGGCGAAAGCCUGAUGCAGCGACGCCGCGUGAGUGAAGAAGUAUUUCGGUAUGUAAAGCUCUAUCAGCAGGGAAGAAAAUGACGGUACCUGACUAAGAAGCCCCGGCUAACUAUGUGCCAGCAGCCGCGGUAAUACAUAGGGGGCAAGCGUUAUCCGGAUUUACUGGGUGUAAAGGGAGCGUAGACGGCAUGGCAAGUCUGAAGUGAAAUGCGGGGGCUCAACCCCUGAACUGCUUUGGAAACUGUCAAGCUAGAGUGUCGGAGAGGUAAGUGGAAUUCCUAGUGUAGCGGUGAAAUGCGUAGAUAUUAGGAGGAACACCAGCGGCGAAGGCGGCUUACUGGACGAUAACUGACGUUGAGGCUCGAAAGCGUGGGGAGCAAACAGGAUUAGAUACCCUGGUA